UGUCCUACGGGAGGCAGCAGUGGGGAAUAUUGGGCAAUGGGCGCAAGCCUGACCCAGCAACGCCGCGUGAAGGAAGAAGGCUUUCGGGUUGUAAACUUCUUUUAUGAGGGACGAAAGAAAUGACGGUACCUCAUGAAUAAGCCACGGCUAACUACGUGCCAGCAGCCGCGGUAAUACGUAGGUGGCAAGCGUUGUCCGGAUUUACUGGGUGUAAAGGGCGUGCAGCCGGAGAGACAAGUCAGAUGUGAAAUCCACGGGCUCAACCCGUGAACUGCAUUUGAAACUGUUUCCCUUGAGUGUCGGAG
rnacentral:rRNA from 1 species